UUAAGCGACUAAGCGUACACGGUGGAUGCCCUGGCAGUCAGAGGCGAUGAAGGACGUGCUAAUCUGCGAUAAGCGUCGGUGAGGUGAUAUGAACCGUUAUAACCGGCGAUUUCCGAAUGGGGAAACCCAGUGUGAUUCGUCACACUAUCAUUAACUGAAUCCAUAGGUUAAUGAGGCGAACCGGGGGAACUGAAACAUCUAAGUACCCCGAGGAAAAGAAAUCAACCGAGAUUCCCCCAGUAGCGGCGAGCGAACGGGGAGGAGCCCAGAGCCUGAAUCAGUGUGUGUGUUAGUGGAAGCGUCUGGAAAGGCGUGCGAUACAGGGUGACAGCCCCGUACACAAAAAUGCACAUAUUGUGAGCUCGAUGAGUAGGGCGGGACACGUGGUAUCCUGUCUGAAUAUGGGGGGACCAUCCUCCAAGGCUAAAUACUCCUGACUGACCGAUAGUGAACCAGUACCGUGAGGGAAAGGCGAAAAGAACCCCGGCGAGGGGAGUGAAAAAGAACCUGAAACCGUGUACGUACAAGCAGUGGGAGCCUCUUAAUGGGGUGACUGCGUACCUUUUGUAUAAUGGGUCAGCGACUUAUAUUCUGUAGCAAGGUUAACCGAAUAGGGGAGCCGAAGGGAAACCGAGUCUUAACUGGGCGUUAAGUUGCAGGGUAUAGACCCGAAACCCGGUGAUCUAGCCAUGGGCAGGUUGAAGGUUGGGUAACACUAACUGGAGGACCGAACCGACUAAUGUUGAAAAAUUAGCGGAUGACUUGUGGCUGGGGGUGAAAGGCCAAUCAAACCGGGAGAUAGCUGGUUCUCCCCGAAAGCUAUUUAGGUAGCGCCUCGUGAAUUCAUCUCCGGGGGUAGAGCACUGUUUCGGCAAGGGGGUCAUCCCGACUUACCAACCCGAUGCAAACUGCGAAUACCGGAGAAUGUUAUCACGGGAGACACACGGCGGGUGCUAACGUCCGUCGUGAAGAGGGAAACAACCCAGACCGCCAGCUAAGGUCCCAAAGUCAUGGUUAAGUGGGAAACGAUGUGGGAAGGCCCAGACAGCCAGGAUGUUGGCUUAGAAGCAGCCAUCAUUUAAAGAAAGCGUAAUAGCUCACUGGUCGAGUCGGCCUGCGCGGAAGAUGUAACGGGGCUAAACCAUGCACCGAAGCUGCGGCAGCAACACUUAGGUGUUGUUGGGUAGGGGAGCGUUCUGUAAGCCUGCGAAGGUGGACUGUGAGGUCCGCUGGAGGUAUCAGAAGUGCGAAUGCUGACAUAAGUAACGAUAAAGCGGGUGAAAAACCCGCUCGCCGGAAGACCAAGGGUUCCUGUCCAACGUUAAUCGGGGCAGGGUGAGUCGACCCCUAAGGCGAGGCCGAAAGGCGUAGUCGAUGGGAAACAGGUUAAUAUUCCUGUACUUGGUGUUACUGCGAAGGGGGGACGGAGAAGGCUAUGUUGGCCGGGCGACGGUUGUCCCGGUUUAAGCGUGUAGGCUGGUUUUCCAGGCAAAUCCGGAAAAUCAAGGCUGAGGCGUGAUGACGAGGCACUACGGUGCUGAAGCGACAAAUGCCCUGCUUCCAGGAAAAGCCUCUAAGCAUCAGGUAACAUCAAAUCGUACCCCAAACCGACACAGGUGGUCAGGUAGAGAAUACCAAGGCGCUUGAGAGAACUCGGGUGAAGGAACUAGGCAAAAUGGUGCCGUAACUUCGGGAGAAGGCACGCUGAUAUGUAGGUGAAGCGACUUGCUCGUGGAGCUGAAAUCAGUCGAAGAUACCAGCUGGCUGCAACUGUUUAUUAAAAACACAGCACUGUGCAAACACGAAAGUGGACGUAUACGGUGUGACGCCUGCCCGGUGCCGGAAGGUUAAUUGAUGGGGUUAGCGGUAACGCGAAGCUCUUGAUCGAAGCCCCGGUAAACGGCGGCCGUAACUAUAACGGUCCUAAGGUAGCGAAAUUCCUUGUCGGGU
rnacentral:rRNA from 1 species